UUCACCCAUUUGGAGCUUGGUCUCUCUCCCCUCCAGUCAGCAAGAAGUACACCCACCACCCCUGGACCCUGCCAAUUGACCAAAGCCACAACUCAUCCCCCCCAACUACCCCCAGACCCAGCCAAUCAGCCAGGGCCACGACCAUCACCCCCCCAAACCGCCCUGGAAACCCAUAAAACCUUUGUUCUGGGGAAAACGCGCUCUCUUUCUCUGGCACCUGGCCACUGUGUUGGCACGGGUGUGAGAUUGAGCUCGGGCUAGCUUGAAUAAAGGCUCUUUGCUUUUGCAUCCAUGUUGGCUCCUUGGUGGUCUCCUUGGGAUUCACGACUUUGGGCACAACAUUUGGGGGCUCGUCUGGGAUCCCAGAGACCCCCAGGACGCCCGACCCGGAAAGCCCUGUGCCGGCUGGUUCCUACUCCUCCACCUUGACGGGACCUCUUUCCUCAUUUCGUGAUGCUCAUCUCCACUUCCACUCAUCACUGAAGAAGUUUCUGCCAGCAUGGAGUUCUAAUGAUGCCAGGGUUCUUGUUUGCUGAGCCAAAGAACGAGCUUCACAAACAGUCAAGCUUAUAUUACAGGAUUACCAACCCCUCUCCAAAGACGAUGAUCCUUAUUGAACCUGGAAGAUGUCAUUGCCACUUCAGACCAAGGGCUCAUCUGAGGACCGCCCCAAAUCAAUACAAAAAUGAACUUCAACACCCCUAAUCAGCAGGAAGCAGUUACUGAAGACUGACCUUCACCCCUUCCCAAAUCCUCUACCACUUAUAAAACAGAAAAGGGAGGACUAUAACAAUAUAGUAAUUUAUCCUCCAUUUACCCCAAGGUCCCAAGCACAUAAGCCAGUGAGAAUUAUGCCUGGACUUGCCUGGGGCUUACCUGUGGACUUGCCCCACCUUAUCUCUAAACAUACCUACCCUCCCCCAAGGCAAAAGCCAAGCGGAUCCUCCACAAUAAAAGGCACAACUCUCUGUACCAUGCUGCUGCUCCCUCUUUCUCUGGAGGCAGCCACUUUCUCUUUCAGAUAAUAAAAUCUCUUGCAUGGG